GACGAACGCUGGCGGCGUGCUUAACACAUGCAAGUCGAACGGAAAGGCGCGGCGCUUGCGGGGUGCUCGAGAGGCGAACGGGUGAGUAACACGCGAGUAACAUGCCCUUGUCUUUGGGAUAACUUCUGGAAACUGGGGCUAAUACCGGAGAGGAGCUCCUGCAGCAUGGUGGGGGUUGGAAAGUGUCGGCGGUUGUGGAUGGUCUCGCGGCUUAUCAGCUGGUUGGUGGGGUAGUGGCGUACCAAGGCUUUGACGGGUAGCCGGCCUGAGAGCGUGAACGGCCUCCUUAGGCCUGCGAUACGGCGCAGACUCCUACGUGACGCAGUAGUCGGGAAUAUUGCGCAGUGGGCGGACGUCUGAUGCGACAGCGCCGCGUUCGUGAUGACGGCUUUCGGGUUGUAAACAGCUUUCGACGGUGACGUGGCGUGAGUGACGGUACUGGGUAAGGAAGCACCGGCUAACUACGUG
rnacentral:rRNA from 1 species